AAGGAAUAUUGGUCAAUGGGCGCAAGCCUGAACCAGCCAUGCCGCGUGCAGGAAGACGGCCUUAUGGGUUGUAAACUGCUUUUAAUCAGGAAUAAACCCCGGUUCGUGAGCCGGGUUGAAGGUACUGGUUGAAUAAGCACCGGCUAACUCCGUGCCAGCAGCCGCGGUAAUACGGAGGGUGCGAGCGUUAUCCGGAUUUAUUGGGUUUAAAGGGUGCGCAGGCGGGCUGAUCAGUCAGUGGUGAAACCCCGGGGCUCAACUCCGGAGCUGCCAUUGAUACUGUCAGUCUUGAAUUCGGUUGAAGUGGGCGGAAUGUGUCAUGUAGCGGUGAAAUGCAUAGAUAUGACACAGAACACCGAUCGCGAAGGCAGCUCACUAAGCCGACAUUGACGCUCAUGCACGAAAGCGUGGGGAGCGAAC
rnacentral:rRNA from 1 species